CGAAAUAACAAAUCAUCAUUAUUUCCAGCGGAGGGUUGUGCGCUUCAGGCGCAUUGUGAUAAGAUAUGCUUAUAUUUCGUCAUGUAGUGCUGAGGCACGGAAUAAAAUCGAUGACAAAAUCAAACAAGAAAAUAUGGCCUCCGUCUGAUGUUUUCAAAUGAAGAACGCAUCUAUAAUCCACGUGCACUUCCGGAUUCCUUCCACCCAAUUCUAAGCUGGCUGUCUUAGAAACAUAACAAAACAAAUUAACUCUUUUUGAUUUGAUCGAUUGGGUUACCUGUAGGCGUCUGCACUUCAAUCAGCGAAUAUCCUGAUUUCUCCCUUUCCGCUAUCUACUUAUUGAUUUUGAUCGGCGUGUAGAGAAAUAUUAGAGAAAAGACUCUAAUCAGGACCUUGCUGCCACUUAUCUUUUAUGUGCUCGGAGGAUGCCAACAUCAAAGCUAUCAGUGAGAUUUGAAAACUGUACAAGUGCGUACAUCUUAGCUGUUUUGAUGCAUCAAAAACAUGGCUUCCUAUGAGAAGGCUGACUUAAACGGGACGAGUGCUGUAGCCUACUUCCUGCUGAAUUUAUGAGGGGCGCCGUUAGUCGACCGCAUCGAACCGAUUCUCGUAACGUCAUCAACGGUGUCUCGUGAAUAACGUAUAAAUCCAAAUGUUAAGACUACGGUGAGCAUGAGUUGCGUACCGGGACUAACCUAUAUGGUAUCUGUAUUAGGAAGCCGAAAUGGAAAAGCUUUUCCAGACAUGUAUUCCAUCCAAGUUGAAGAUCGCUGUGACGACGAGUUCCGAUGCGAAUACGCAGGAGUGAAUCCUUCGUGCAAGUAUUUAGUUGUAAUAAUUAUAUUUGAGACAGCAGCUAGUGUAGGUCAGUCGUGAUUACUUAUAACAUUUCAUUUUGCACAAUUUUGAACGGGGAACUAAAUUUAUGUUUGACACGGUUUACAAAAAGAAACAAGUAGAAUAGUGGCUAGAGCAUUCAGUUUGUAAGAUUUCAAAUGUGUUCACGAGAAAACGAGGACUGUUAUUAUUGUACUUGCGUUUGAAAAGCGAAGGCUGAUCCGCUACUCCGCUCAAAUCUUACCUCGAUUGAUCAAUAUACUCAACAGCGCAAAAAAUAUGGUUAAACCAGAGAGUUGUGGCAGCCAAUUUGGUAGAUUUCUAUUUCAGCUUGAAUCCAAAGACUAUUUUGUAGAAUACGUAUGUACAAGAGUGAUUCAGUAUGUAAUCUUAUGAAGUAACACUAAGUCCACAAUCAUUCACUUUGCAAGCUUCGAAGCAAAGGCUCAUCUAUGCCAUGUUGGGCUCAUUCUAAACUAGACUCAAUAGCCAAAUAACCGCAUUUUUUCCAAUUCAUUUAUUUGUAAGGCUCAAUCGCAUGAGCUUUGCGGAGCCACUAAUUCAUGAUUUGUUUUUACAGAAUUUCAACUUAAAUCUAUGUUUAGUAGGUUUCGACCGAUUACUCGCGGUUUACCCGAGUUUUAACAAUUUUUGUGGGACGGGUCAGGUUAGGGAUAUGGAUAUGAGGUAUCGUUGUCCCAACCGAGAGUUGCCGCAUGCACUGUAGCAUUGUGCAUAAUGACCAGGGAUAGCAUCUGAUGUUCUAUUAUCUGUCGAGGGUGGGCGACGGUGAGAUGAGGGGACAAGACAAACAAACUAAUAACGAAAAAGAAAAAAACACAAAAGCAUUAAAUUCUUAUACCUGACCGUUUCACAAACAUAUAGAUCAACUGCAUAUAGCAGAUGUCGCGAGUUCCCAACACGUCUCUAUCAGGAACAUAGGGUUGUUUUCCUUGGGCCCUAAGGGCAUUCAAAAGGUCCUCUCUGGCUGCGUAGUUAUCCGUACAUUGCCAAACUGCGUGAUCGAUGUCAUCGUAACCGUUUCCACACCGACAGACAUUGCUUUGAACAAGAUUUAUUCUGUGGAGAUGCACAUCUAGCGAGUAGUGGUUGGACAUAAGUCUACUCAUUACACUAAUGAAGUCACUACUUACGUCCAAACCUUUGAACCACGCUCUCGAAGAAACAUUUGGAAUAAUUGAAUAUAACCACCGCCCAAGACUUCCAGUGUCCCAAUCGGUUUGCCAACUCAGGAGGGAACUCUGACGCAGUAAUUGGAAAAAUUCAUCGUAUGAAAUCUGUCUAUCAAACAAUUCGCCUUCCUGGGCACCCACCUUUGCGAGAGUGUCCGCUUUCUCAUUGCCAGGAAUUGAGCAAUGAGAGGGGACCCAUACAAAGGUUAACUUAUAAGAUCUUUCGAUCAGUGCACUCAUCUGCUGCCUCACUUUUGUGAGUAAAUAAGAUGGGUGCCUACUAGUUUUCAUCGACUGGAGACCCUCAAGCGAACUGAGACUAUCCGAUAAAAUGGAGUAAUGGUCUGCAGGCUUGUUGGAGAUCAUCCCCA